AGAAAGUUGUAUGUUUAUGUGGUGGUGGUGAAUGAUUAUGUAAGUUAAGGUUACAAGUCUGCUACUGUUUUUUUGUUGUGUGGAGAUGGUGGAUUUUUUACAUGGUGGUUGAGUGGUUCAAAGGAGAAAAGAGGGUUUGGGUGAGUUAGGGUUUAGGUUGAAAAGAGGGAGCUUGAAUGUGAUUUGGACAUAGGUUUUGUGGCUUUCAAGCUUGAAAAAUGAGUGGGGAUAGUGCUCUAUUUAUAGGGGAAGCAAAGGGGUUGAAGUGGGUGAAAGAAAAGGUCCCCUGGGUAAAAAACAUAGCUUUUUCUGUUGUCUGCACAGGUGUAAUCGGUUACCCUGAUUAGGGUAAUCGGUUACACAGUCCCAAAAUGGCCAAAAAAUCAGUUUUUGGUCUGGGUAAUCGGUUACCCUGAUUAGGGUAACCGGUUACCCAAUUUUUAUUUUUUUUUAGGAAUAAUGAAUGUAUGCAUGUGCAGUAGGGUCAUGGAUCAGAUUAAAAUUGUAUCGGGGUGGGGUGAAUUUUGGGGUAUGACAGUUGCC
rnacentral:lncRNA from 1 species